rnacentral:rRNA from 1 species
UACGGAGGGAGCUAGCGUUGUUCGGAAUUACUGGGCGUAAAGCGCACGUAGGCGGCUUUGUAAGUUAGAGGUGAAAGCCCGGGGCUCAACUCCGGAACUGCCUUUAAGACUGCAUCGCUAGAAUUGUGGAGAGGUAAGUGGAAUUCCGAGUGUAGAGGUGAAAUUCGUAGAUAUUCGGAAGAACACCAGUGGCGAAGGCGACUUACUGGACACAUAUUGACGCUGAGGUGCGAAAGCGUGGGGAGCAAACAGG